rnacentral:lncRNA from 1 species
GCGUAUUUCGUAGACGUCUCUCCGUGGUUGAAAGAGAAACGUGUGCGGCGAAGAGGUACGUAAUCCACUUUUCCUCAACCCUUAAAACUGAUUGACCAUAAAUCAACGGAUGUUAACAUCUGUUUUAGCUGAAACGGAUGUCGAAAUCCGUCAACGGAUGUGCGACAUCCGGUUUAAGCCUGGACGUCUUCUUCCUCCUACCCACCCAGAAACAUCAACAGCAACGAAACAGAAAACCGCGCACAGCAGAAAUCAACACAAUCUUAAACCCUAUAAGCUCUCGUAGACGGCAGAAACGAAACUACGAAGCAACAAUCACCACGC